GGGGCAUGAUGGCCAGCUCUAUGGAUCACAACAAUACCACUAUCCGUAUUUCCAGCCCCUCCCUCCAACCAGUAAUUCAUACACUACUCCAGUUGCCCUGCCAAAAGGUGAGAUCGCCACCUCUGCUGCUGCUGCUGACCAUGCAUCGUUGUCUGUUGAUUCUGCUAAUGGAAUUUCUAAUGGCAUUGCCAAUGGUGGUGUAAAGGGAAAUGCUGGGCCUACGCUUGUGAGGCCUGCAUUCCAGAACCCAUCCGUAAAUGCUAAUGGUUCUUAUGGGCGGGGUGCGUUGCCUGGAGGAGCUGCUUCAGGUUAUCACGACCCUAGAUUAGGUUUUGAUGGUGUGCGAUCUCCCAUUCCAUGGAUAGAUGGAUCAAUGUUCACUGACGGGCAAGGUAGGCCAGUGUCGAGCAAUUCUUUUACAACAUCUUUUUCAAAUGGCAGUGCCGUUCCAUCAUCAAAAAUCAGAAUGUUCAUCCGCAUCUAAUGGUAUGUUAUUUGAGAACAUGAAUAUGUUCUUUCUCUUCCAUAUUUACUGUCUCCUUAAAGAGACUUUAGAGUAGCUACUCCAGUAAUUGGAGCCAAGCAGCUGCGUGUAAGGGUUUUCUCCAUAUAUUUUCUGGUCUCAUUUUCUUGUUGACACCGACUCUCUUUUCAUUCUCAGGGCUUCCACCACCCAAGGCCCUCUUCUGGCAUGAACACAACAAAUGGGUAUAUGUAUAGGAUGUACCCCAAUAAACUGUAUGGGGGGCGGUAUUGUAACACAUUCGGUACUGGCAUGGGCUUUGGAUCCAAUGGAUAUGAUACCCGUACCACAGGUCGUGGGUGGAUGACGGUUGACAACAAGUUCAAACCCAGGGGUAGAGGAAAUAGUUUCUACGGUAAUGAGAACAUGGAUGGUUUAAAUGAGCUCAACAGGGGACCUAGAGGUAAAGGUUUCAAGAAUCAAAAGGGUUUUACACCAGUAACGCUGGCAGUCAAGGGGCAGAACAUUCCGCUCACCCUAACCAAUGAUGCUGAGAAAGAAAAACCAAGCCUGAUUCCUGACAGAGAACAAUACAACUGUCCAGAUUUUCCAGUGACAUAUACUGAUGCCAAGUUUUUUAUAAUCAAGUCUUACAGUGAGGAUGAUGUGCACAAAAGCAUCAAAUAUAAUGUUUGGGCUAGCACACCAAAUGGUAACAAGAAGCUUGAUUCUGCUUACCAGGAGGCUAAACAAAAGUCUGGUGGUUGCCCUGUUUUUCUUUUCUUCUCGGUGAGCUUUAUUAGAUACAUCAUUCUCAAGUCUUUUUUUGGUUGAGUCACAUUCUCCUUGUUUUGAUUGGUUAUUUAUGGUCUUUUUAUCCAGGUGAAUACAAGUGGUCAGUUUGUUGGUGUUGCAGAGAUGGUAGGACCAGUUGAUUUCAACAAGAGUUUGGAGUAUUGGCAGCAAGACAAGUGGAUCGGCUGCUUUCCUGUAAAGUGGCACAUU
rnacentral:lncRNA from 1 species